ACGUGUUUUGGGACCAGCAAAUGGAACAGUAUUCGGAGAAGGACAACAUCAAAUUCUUUAUAGAGCUAUCAACUCCUUUGGAAAAGAAGACUGUUUGAUAAUGUUUGCAGUAAAAAGACGCUGUAUUGAAUUACCUUCUCCACAGAAUGGCCAAUUUUCGUGUACAGGCAACUAUGGGGAGGGUUCAGCGUGCUUGUUGAAGUGUUCCAAAGACUUCAGGCCAAAUGUGUUGCUACCAUUUUUCUGUGAAUAUCAAAAAACAAUGCAUUGGUCUCCCACGUUGACGAACGUGAAAUGCAACGAUGUUUGUCUGCCCAUUUUAGUAAAAUGUCCAAGAAAAGUAAUUGCUAUCGCAGAUUCAAAAUCAUUU